ensembl:lncRNA
CUUUAAUACCCCACAGCAGUAAAUACCCCCACUUUAAUACCCCACAGCAGUAAAUACCCCCACUUUAAUACCCCACAGCAGUAAAUACCCCCUCUUUAAUACCCCACAGCAGUAAAUACCCCCACUUUAAUACCCCACAGCAGUAAAUACCCCCACUUUAAUACCCCACAGAGGUAAAUACCUCCUCUUUAAUACCCCACAGCAGUAAAUACCCCCACUUUAAUACCCCACAGAGGUAAAUACCCCCUCUUUAAUACCCCGCAGCAGUAAAUACCCCCUCUUUAAUACCCCGCAGCAGUAAAUACCCCCACUUUAAUACCCCACAGGACUAAAUACCCCCUCUUUAAUACCCCACAGAGGUAAAUACCCCCUCUUUAAUACCCCGCAGCAGUAAAUACCCCCUCUUUAAUACCCCGCAGCAGUAAAUACCCCCACUUUAAUACCCCACAGGACUAAAUACCCCCUCUUUAAUACCCCACAGAGGUAAAUACCUCCUCUUUAAUACCCCACAGAGGUAAAUACCCCGUCUUUAAGUCCUGAACAGGCUCUUUUCUCAGCCUGUGGUUUAUAAACGUUGACGUGACGUCUGGACUCAUGGGCUGGCCCUGGGUGUGUUUGAACUUUUAUAUACAUUUUUUUUAUUUUAAUUCUAUUUUUAAUGAUGUGAAACGAUGAAACUGCUUCAAACAUGUGCCAUAAGGAAAAGGAGGAGUGAGCGUUUCUAAAAUGUGGGUCGACGCAAACAAAACACAAAUACAAAGGAACUGUAUGUGAGAGUUUGAUUUAAAUUACAUAAACUACGAAAACACUGGACAUGAUCUUGUUUAUUUGUUAUAAUUUGGUGUUUUUUGGUUCCAAUCAGAAAGCAGAACGUUCCUCACCUGACUCUCGUUUGGGUUGCCAGUUCCAAAGCUGAAAUCCAGUCGUUUUACCCUCAAAAGCCUCUGAUCUGAUUGGUCACUGCCCAAAGGCUCAGACGUGUAGUACCUCUGUGAAGCAGCAGGGGGCAGGAUACAUACAGUUCCUUUAAAUCUCUUAUGAUAAUUCCUGACACGGCGGCUGUUCCUGUUUCCGUCUCCUCGGUGUUUUCCGGUCGGGCAGAAUGCACUGAUGCACUUUACGCGACAGACUGGGACACGGGACAGGUUUGGACGUGUUUUUGGGACAUGUUUUUGGGACAUGUUUUGGGACGUGUUUGGGGCGUGUUUACGGAGCGCCUGCAUCCUUGUCGUGCCAUACCCGGAGGACCUGAUUUUCCAAACUUCCUUUAGCUAAAAAAAAAACAAAAAAAAAAACAGCAACAGUAUUUAUUCUUGUGUUCUCCCUGUGUCGCCCCCUGGUGUCCGUACGGAGCGCCUGCCUCUCGCUGUUGUCGUGUUUUGGUGCUUUUUUAUUUUUAUUUAAAUUCUUCCAUCUGUUUAAAAACUGCACUUUGGUCUGAAGUUUGGACCACACGGGACUAAAGGACCUGUGCUGUCUGUAGAUGUGUCAGAUGCCCUCCCAUCCCCCCCUUAAAUCCCUGUGUCAGAUGCCCUCCCUCUCAUUUUUCUUUAGGAUUGCACUGUCUGUAUAUUUUAUUUAAAGUUUUAACCUUUAACCUUUGGUUGUUUUUAAGAAUAUUUUUGAGCUGCCAC